GGGGCUGACUUGGUUUUGACAUUUAAAGAUUAAGUAAAGUAUGAUGCAGGUCGAAGCCGUUAUUCUUCGUAAAAAAAAUACAAUUUUAGAAUAAAUGCUAACAAUAUAAUUCCUUUUAACUUCAAACAGAUUAAUAAGACUCAAAACUCUUUCGCGUUUGCAGUUUAGUAUCUAAUACAUUUUGUUAAAUUUAUUUGUUCACUAUAACUAGACUUUUCGUUUUUUUAUAGUUUAGAAUAAUAUUAUAUUUCGUUCUAUUAAAUGAACUAUGCCUGUGAACGAGUGCUUUAAUAAAAUUUAAAUGGACGUGGGUUCGAUUCCCAUCAGCUCCA
rnacentral:tmRNA from 1 species